UUGGAAGUAAAAGUCGUAACAAGGUUUGAAGUAAAAAUCCAGCGGAGGGAUCAUUUGGGAGUUUACAAGUCCCAAACCCCUGUGAACAUACCAUUCCAAACCCUUGGGGGAUCACCGCUUGUUGGUAAAACGGGACGGCCCGCCAGAGGGUAAAACGGGAUAUGUCUUUAUGAGUAUCUUUUGAGUAACUCUAUAAAUAAAUCAUAAGAGUAAACACAGGAUUUAUUGAAUACGGCAAACAUGAAGUAUGCAGGGUAAUGCGAUAAGUAAGAUGACAGCAAGAAUUCAUAGAAUCAGUGAAUCGCAGAACGCACAGAAUCAUCGACUGUUUUAUGGCGCACAUCCCUGUUCGAGAGUCAUUUCAACCCUCAAGCUCCAGGGUCAGGUGAUGGGGAUCGGACAACGGCCUCGCCAGAGGACGCUACGGCCCGUAAAUCUAGUGGAGGGGUGGUCGCAGCGAGCUUUCAGUAGGUAGUAGCAAAUCCCAAGUGGAAGGUGAUGCGGGCAAGCACGCAAACAAACCCCAACUUCUGAAUGUUGACCUC
rnacentral:rRNA from 1 species